GAUGAACGCUGGCGGCGUGCUUAACACAUGCAAGUCGAACGGUGAAGCAGGAGCUUGCUCCUGUGGAUCAGUGGCGAACGGGUGAGUAACACGUGAGCAAUCUGCCCUGGACUCUGGGAUAAGCGUUGGAAACGACGUCUAAUACCGGAUACGAGGCGUGGGGGCAUCCCCAACGCCUGGAAAGAACUUCGGUCCAGGAUGAGCUCGCGGCCUAUCAGGUAGUUGGUGAGGUAACGGCUCACCAAGCCUACGACGGGUAGCCGGCCUGAGAGGGUGACCGGCCACACUGGGACUGAGACACGGCCCAGACUCCUACGGGAGGCAGCAGUGGGGAAUAUUGCACAAUGGGCGCAAGCCUGAUGCAGCAACGCCGCGUGAGGGACGACGGCCUUCGGGUUGUAAACCUCUUUUAGCAGGGAAGAAGCGAAAGUGACGGUACCUGCAGAAAAAGCACCGGCUAACUACGUGCCAGCCGCCGCGGUAAAAC
rnacentral:rRNA from 1 species